CUAGUCUUUUAUUUCUAAAGCAUUAUAGAGAAACACUUGGUUGCUUUUCACUUUUGCUUAUGACGUAAUUGCAGGAAUUCUGAACACUUCUCGUGCAAUUCCCUUUCUGAAACCUAUCAACCAUGAGCAUUAAUACGGAAGGGAUUCUACUAGUGUGACAGUAGUCUGUUUAUGCGCCUUCUGUAUCUCAAUCACUAAUUUUACCUAGUCUUCUUCCCUUUCCUCUCUUGAACUCUCACUAAGAUAACAAUUGGAAUUAAACUGGAAUGCAUCAGUAACCCAUUUGUCAUCCUUUUAUGUUUUUAAAUACUCAUUAAUUCACAACUGAUCUGAUCCUUCCUCUAUCGAGCAUUUUUAUGAUUACAUUUGGAGUCACAGCAGAAUGCAUAAAAAAUCUUUUCAUGCAAUCAAUCAACCGUUAUUCCUCUCUCUCGGACAUCAUAAUAACAUUUGGAAUUAUGUGGUAUAUUGAACACUCAUUUAACUCCCAAUUAAUGUUUCUUCCUCCUCUCUUGACUCAUGGUGGUAACAUUUGGAAUUACAUCGAUCACUUCUUUUCUUUAGUUUCAUUUUCAUAAGAAAAUAAUUUAUGUAGCAUACCAGAUUGUUCUUUCUUAAAAAAAAUCUGAUGGUUCUUCCUUUCUUCAGCUUUGGUGCAAGGGUGCUUGGUUCUUUGGUGUCGAGGACACAUGCUAGGCAAUACCAUUAAUCCAGUUGCAAAUGGUGCAUCCAUUUAAGUUGAUUGGUAUCAUUUUCAUAGUUGUUAUUAACUAAACUAUGCGUCACAAUAAAGGAUGAUUAAGAAAAUCAACCAAUUGCAUUUGUAAAUGAUAUGGGUCAGGUUCAUGGAUCCCUGGAUUUUUGUAGACUGAGUGGUCUUUUUAAGUUAAAUCAAGCUUAUCUGAGAACUUGCUAUGCUGUUACAUUCAAAAUUUUAAUCUUUGCCAAUCUGAUGUAUCCUUGAAAGUAAUUGGUGUUCUUGAAGAAGCCUGUGGUGAUGGUACCUUUUCAACAGACUCAGCUUCUAAGUCAUGUCCAUUGGAGGCUGAAAUAAGUCAGAACAUAAUCUGCAUAUGAGUGGGCACUGAAAUGAAAUAAAACCAGUGUUCUGAUUCUUACAGCUGAGGUCAAUCUAUAAUACCUUGUGGAUGAAACAUUUCAUUAUUAGGAGGUGACUGUUUUCUUGACUGACCAGUAGGCAAGUCUUGAGAAUGCCUACAUGCAAAUCUUCUGAUUCCAGCUAGCUGCACCUAGUGAAUCCUCAUAUGAUGAGACCACUUCUUGAUGUGAACCACCAGAAGUUCUAUGAACAGAUUAGCAUCAGCCAUUAAUGACCUACACCCCUUUCCAGUCAGAUGGAAGCCGAAGAUUCACCAUGUAUUCCUGUCAAUUUCUUUUAGAAUACUGAGGUCAGAAUAUCUGAUGCCAAUAGCUCUUCCAGGCGAAGAGGGGAACCAAACACCAGGACAAGGCUCGGUGGUUGAUGAAAUGUUUCUUAUGUAUUAAACAUUGGAAGCUGGUGGACAACCAAGGAUGCUGGUUCCGGUUGUUCCAGCAAUGAUGUAUCUAAUAGGUGGAGUGAGCAAGUAGGCUGUAAAAUUCUUCAUAUGCAUCUAUUAGCCUAAGUGCUGAAAGUUUUGCUUUUAGAACUUUUGAAUUGUUCCAUUCAUAAGGAGAAAAGCUAUUCUUUUAUGGGUUUUCUUAUCAGGAAAAUUGGAGUACGGGUUCUCUUCAAUAGCAAAUUGUUCUGAUCCUCCUUCCCAUAGCAUGAUAUUCGUAUCAAAUUAUGGCUUCAAACGUCCUGAUUCCUGCAGAAAUUGAAAUCAUUGUUUUUCAGUUGAUAGACGGUCAAAAUUCUGGACUGCUAGAUAGUCUCUAGUGUCAUAACUGCAGACAUUCAUUUCAUGGACAUAUAUGUGGAUGAAAUAUCACUUUUGAUUCUGACCGUCUUUUUGCAGUGCAAAUUUUUACUCCAUGCUGUAGACGAGGCUGGAACAUGAACAGUAUGGAACCUGUAAAAGAUCUCAGCUUUGAUUAUCCAGGGAUGAGGUCUUGAGCUCCUGGUGGAGGCAAUUCUGGCAUCUCUGCUCGUUAACGGGUGAGUUAUCACAUCUACCAUGCUUCUCAGUUGAGCUUUAGAUCAGAAUCCAGCAGCUGAAUGCUAGUACAGACAUGUGGAUUUCAUUAAAUAGGGUAUGUAUUUGUAUCGUUUCAACUUCAGAUUUAUUGCAGGACCACCUUGCAAUGAAUCGAGUAGGUGACUGUGCCUGCUGUUUCUUUAAAAACAACCUCAUUCACAGUUCAUAAAAUAUUUGCCUAGUCUUUCCUAGUUGGUCUCAGGGUAUAGAGAUUUUGGGGUUGUGAUCCACAAGGGAGUCAUCAAGGCAUGUGGGAAUAAAUGGGUGUCGUCAGUACUGAGCAAAAAAAAAAAGAAGCAGAAAAUAAUUGUGGUUAGCAUCGGAAAGUUAGAUCUUUUGGUCACUCAUCUUUUCUGGUCCAAAAGACUAUUCCUUUAUCACUGAUUGGGCCCACACAGCAACACUUUGAUGCAUGCACUUCUGAUAAAAAGAAUGGAAAAGAAAAAUGUAUAGCAUUAACAUCAGAGCUCACAAUUGCAUCAUCAUACCAGACCAGUUCAUGAUAGCAUGACUCAAAAAGGUCCCUUUCUGUGCUUGGGAAUGAUGAGAGUGCUUUGGCUCUCACCCUUGCCUGCCCACGUAGACAGACCAAGUCCUAAUUCGCUAAAGCCACCUUUGGAAGAGUGUUCAGCAAGACAACCAGCCAACUCAAAUGUGGUAUAUUAUCUUUGUGGCUUGUUCUCAGCCUCCUUCCUUGGUUGAGAUGAGUGUCAAAGUUAAUAGCAAGUGUCAAGUGCAGAGUUCUUGAAUAAAGAACUGAAAAGUUGCCUCACCAGAAUCAAGUGCUCACUUUUCCACAAAGAAAUGAUACAAAAAAAAUCUUCUCAUUCACUUUUUCUUAUGGCUGAUAGAAACAUCUUUAUAUUAGGAAAAGUUGGGAAAGGCAAAAAAGUUGCCAUGUAGCCUGCUUGCUUUUUAAUCAUUAGUUUUCCUUUGAACUAUGCCCUGGUAAUUAAAAGAAACAAGAAUUGUAAAGGGCAAACAGCCAUGUUCUUUUCCUUUUUCUAGGGUUCAUCCCACAUUCAUCAACACCAUC